rnacentral:lncRNA from 1 species
CUCUUCGCUGGCACGGCCAGCCCCCUCCCCUCUGUCCAAGAGAGAGGGUCCGGGGCCCGCGGAUCCCCCCCUCCCCUUGGCUUGGGGACCCGCGGCACAGCGGGCGCUGCCCCGCCGGGACGGCGGCAGGAAAAUCUCCGUCCCGGCGCCCGCGGGGCCCUUGGCAAUGACCGCGGCGUUCCCCGCAGCCCACCCGGGGUGCCAGCUCUGCUCCACAGCGGGGCCCCUCAGCUCGGGCUCCACGGUCACCGAGCCCGGGAGGAGGGACUUGGGAGCGGCUGCUCCAGCGGCAGGCGGGAGCCGGCUGGAGGACCCUGCUGUGAGCACGACUCGAGUUCCUCACAGCCACAUCCCCCCGGCUCCCUCGAGGCCACUCCGCAGCCUGUGGAGGCUGGCUGUGAGCACAGGCUGUUGGUUGAGCCAGUGUCACAUCCCUGGAAGUGCUCAUAGCCACACUGG